rnacentral:rRNA from 1 species
GAUCAUGGCUCAGGAUGAACGCUGGCGGCGUGCUUAAUACAUGCAAGUCGAACGAAGCACCUUGGACAGAAUCCUUCGGGAGGAAGACCAUUGUGACUGAGUGGCGGACGGGUGAGUAACGCGUGGGUAACCUGCCUUGUACAGGGGGAUAACAGUUGGAAACGACUGCUAAUACCGCAUAAGCGCACAGUACCGCAUGGUACGUGUGAAACUACUGUGGUCGAAGAUGACCGCCGU